rnacentral:rRNA from 1 species
GGAUACGAUCAUACCAGCACUAAAGCACCGGAUCCCAUCAGAACUUCGGAGUUAAGCGUGCUUGGGCGAGAGUAGUACUAGGAUGGGUGACCUCCUGGGAAGUCCUCGUGUUGUAUCCC